rnacentral:lncRNA from 1 species
AGUUUUGCGUUAAACAAGAAAAUCAUGAUAUAUGCAUCAGAAACUUUUCUAAAUAUCUCAACGAGAAUUUGUGAUUCAUGAGAAAAAUUGAUCGCAUAACUAUACAGUAAAUGGGCAUCAAUCAACAAAACAUAUAUCAUACUUUUUAUUUAUUUACUGAGAUAUUGGAUCCAAGAAUUUGGAAAUCAAAUGACUACGCGAGUGAGCAGCGAUAUAUUUGUUCAAUUUCUAUUUCUCACAGACUCACACAUAGAAU